AGAAUUAUCUUGUGUUUUUUGUUUUGUUCUGUUUUGAGAUGGAGUCUUGUUCUGUCACCCAGGCUGGAGCGCAGUGACGUGAUCUCGGCUCACUGCAACCUUCACCUCCCGGGUUCAAGAGAUUCUCCUGUCUCAGCCUCCCGAGUAGCUGGGACUACAGGUACGUGCCACCACACCUGGCUAAUUUUUGUAUUUUUAGUAGAGACAAGAGUUACACCAUAUUGGCCAGGAUCUUUUGCUUUCUAUAGCUUCAAAAUGUUCUUAAUGUUAAGACAUUCUUAAUACUCUGAACCAUAUGAAUUUGCCAUUUUGGUAAGUCACAGACGCCAGAUGGUGGCAAUUUCACAUGGUGCAACCCGAAAGAUUUACAAACUAUCCAGCAGAUGAAAGGAUUUUUUUUAGUUUCAUUGGGUUUACUGAAGAAAUUGUUUGAAUUCUCAUUGCAUCUCCAGUUCAACAGAUAAUGAGUGAGUGAUGCCACACUCUCAAGAGUUAAAAACAAAACAACAAAAAAAUUAAAACAAAAGCACACAACUUUCUCUCUCUGUCCCAAAAUACAUACUUGCAUACCCCCGCUCCAGAUAAAAUCCAAAGGGUAAAACUGUCUUCAUGCCUGCAAAUUCCUAAGGAGGGCACCUAAAGUACUUGACAGCGAGUGUGCUGAGGAAAUCGGCAGCUGUUGAAGUCACCUCCUGUGCUCUUGCCAAAUGUUUGAAAGGGAAUACACUGGGUUACCGGGUGUAUGUUGGGAGGGGAGCGUUAUCAGUGCUCGGGUGAGGCAAGUUUGUGAGUACCCAGAUGGAGACAUCCGUGUCUGUGUCGCUCUGGAUGCCUCCAAGCCAGCGUGUGUUUACUUUCUGUGUGUGUCACCAUGUCUUUGUGCUUCUGGGCGCUUCUGUGUUUGUUUCUGGCCGCGUUUCUGUGUUGGACAGGGAUGACUUUGUGCCGGAUGGCUUCUGUGUGAGAGCGCGCGCGAGUGUGCAUGUCGGUGAGCUGGGAGGGUGUGUCUCAGUGUCUAUGGCUGUGGUUCGGUAUAAGUCUGAGCAUGUCUGCCAGGGUGUAUUUGUGCCUGUAUGUGCGUGCCUAGGUGGGCACUCUCGUUUCCUUCCGAAUGUGGGGCAGUGCCGGUGUGCUGCCCUCUGCCUUGAGACCUCAAGCCGCGCAGGCGCCCAGGGCAGGCAGGUAGCGGCCACAGAAGAGCCAAAAGCUCCCGGGUUGGCUGGUAAGCACACCAGCUCCAGCUUUAGCCCUCUGGGGCCAGCCAGGGUAGCCGGGAAGCAGUGGUGGCCCGCCCUCCAGGGAGCAGUUGGGCCCCGCCCGGGCCAGCCCCAGGAGAGGGAGGGCGAGGGGAGGGGAGGAAAGGGGAGGAGAGGAAAGGGGAGGAGUGCCUCGCCCCUUCGCGGCUGCCGGCGUGCCAUUGGCCGAAAGUUCCCGUACGUCACGGCGAGGGCAGUUCCCCUAAAGUCCUGUGCACAUAACGGGCAGAACGCACUGCGAGGCGGCUUCUUCAGAGCACGGGCUGGAACUGGCAGGCACCGCGAGCCCCUAGCACCCGACAAGCUGAGUGUGCAGGACGAGUCCCCACCACACCCACACCACAGCCGCUGAAUGAGGCUUCCAGGCGUCCGCUCGCGGCCCGCAGAGCCCCGCCGUGGGUCCGCCCGCUGAGGCGCCCCCAGCCAGUGCGCUCGCCUGCCAGACUGCGAGCCAUGGGGCAACCCGGGAACGGCAGCGCCUUCUUGCUGGCACCCAAUGGAAGCCAUGCGCCGGACCACGACGUCACGCAGGAAAGGGACGAGGUGUGGGUGGUGGGCAUGGGCAUCUUCAUGUCUCUCAUCGUCCUGGCCAUCGUGUUUGGCAAUGUGCUGGUCAUCACAGCCAUUGCCAAGUUCGAGCGUCUGCAGACGGUCACCAACUACUUCAUCACUUCACUGGCCUGUGCUGAUCUGGUCAUGGGCCUGGCAGUGGUGCCCUUUGGGGCCGCCCAUAUUCUUAUGAAAAUGUGGACUUUUGGCAACUUCUGGUGCGAGUUUUGGACUUCCAUUGAUGUGCUGUGCGUCACGGCCAGCAUUGAGACCCUGUGCGUGAUCGCAGUGGAUCGCUACUUUGCCAUUACUUCACCUUUCAAGUACCAGAGCCUGCUGACCAAGAAUAAGGCCCGGGUGAUCAUUCUGAUGGUGUGGAUCGUGUCAGGCCUUACCUCCUUCUUGCCCAUUCAGAUGCACUGGUACCGGGCCACCCACCAGGAAGCCAUCAACUGCUAUGCCAAUGAGACCUGCUGUGACUUCUUCACGAACCAAGCCUAUGCCAUUGCCUCUUCCAUCGUGUCCUUCUACGUUCCCCUGGUGAUCAUGGUCUUCGUCUACUCCAGGGUCUUUCAGGAGGCCAAAAGGCAGCUCCAGAAGAUUGACAAAUCUGAGGGCCGCUUCCAUGUCCAGAACCUUAGCCAGGUGGAGCAGGAUGGGCGGACGGGGCAUGGACUCCGCAGAUCUUCCAAGUUCUGCUUGAAGGAGCACAAAGCCCUCAAGACGUUAGGCAUCAUCAUGGGCACUUUCACCCUCUGCUGGCUGCCCUUCUUCAUCGUUAACAUUGUGCAUGUGAUCCAGGAUAACCUCAUCCGUAAGGAAGUUUACAUCCUCCUAAAUUGGAUAGGCUAUGUCAAUUCUGGUUUCAAUCCCCUUAUCUACUGCCGGAGCCCAGAUUUCAGGAUUGCCUUCCAGGAGCUUCUGUGCCUGCGCAGGUCUUCUUUGAAGGCCUAUGGGAAUGGCUACUCCAGCAACGGCAACACAGGGGAGCAGAGUGGAUAUCACGUGGAACAGGAGAAAGAAAAUAAACUGCUGUGUGAAGACCUCCCAGGCACGGAAGACUUUGUGGGCCAUGAAGGUACCAUGGUACCUCGCCACAUUGCCUGGAAUCGCCUGACCCUCCCUUUACCCCACAAGGAGUCCCCAGCUCUUGGAGCUUCAGAGUUCUUGUCCAAGUCUCACACAAUCCCCUGAAGAGUGGUGAAAAUACUCUCCAAAGUCGCUGAACCGUGAGCACAGGACCACAUCCCAGGAACUGCCACAGAAACUGUUCCUGGCUUAAUGUGGAAUUGAACCCCAGAAUGCAGAACAGCUCUGAGUCUCAGUCAUAGACACCCAGGAGGACUCUCACUGCUGGUCAGACAAGUGCCUGGACUUUGGGUCGCCAUUCCUCUCUCUUUUGACACCACUGCCUGUUUCACCAAGUUCCCCCCCCAUGGCAUAUGACAGCAUGAUGCCCCAAGGGAGAAAAGCUGCCAAGAAGGGCCCUGAGUCUUUGGCAUUGGGCUAGAAGGUGGCGCUCUCCUAGCAUAUGACUCAGGCUACAAGGGGAUGCUUGCCUCCUGAGCACUGUCAGUUUCCUUGCUUAGAAACUGGAAAUAAGAAGAAUCCUGUCAUCUCAGAGGACUUUAUGGGAAUCAGAUGAGAAAAGAGGUUCUGAGGAAAACUUCGAUUUGCUAUUUAGAUCCUUGAGUCCAAGACUCUCAGCCACUGCUUUGACCUCCUACCUCUCCGGCAUGCUAUCUCUUCACUUCACCCACCCUGGUAGCUUCUCCAGCAAUAACAGAGCAGCUCACAUCAUGGGCUCUGGAGUCAGGCUGCUGGGUGUUUCCCACUGGCUCUAAUCUUACCAGCUGUGUGACCUUAGGCAUGUUAACUCACCUCUCUGAUCUUCAGUUGUCUCAUCUGAAAGUGGGGAUAAAACAGAACCUACCUCAAGGGUUGCUGUGAGAUAAUGUAUGAAAUGCACCUGGCACAGCACCUACAAUACAUUCAUUCCUGCUGCUAUUAGUGUUACUUCUUUGAAGAUCCACAGCCUGUUAUCACUAAUAGGAUCAGUGGGAGACUGAAUAUAACUAAUGUGACUAGUAGGCGUCCUGAACACUGGCAGCUCUCUUGAGGUGUGGUCCACAGAACUUUGGCAGUCCUCCAGAUCCUUUCAAGAGGUCCACAAUGCCAAAAUAAUUUUCAGAGUCAUACUACUUGGCGUUUUUCACUGUGUUGACAUUUGCACUGAUGGUGCAAAAGCAAUGAUGUGCAACUGUGCAAGUGGUCAUUGUAUUCUUUACCACUAUGCAUGCCCAGAGAUGGGGGGAAACACAGUUUCACUUAACAAUGUCUUUUAUUAAGCAGUAAAUAUUGUUAUUUUUAUUAAAUUUUGACCCCAUUUUUACUUGAAAGAAUGACUAACAGACAAACUAUGAUUAUUCAGAUGUGGGCAUGUAGCAGACAUUUCCACAGAAAUGAAUGAGGUAAGCCUGUCGCUUCAAGAAAAAUCACUACCAAUAUUUGUUGCUAAUGAUAAAAUUCAAGCUUACAAGUAAAUUUUAGAAAGCUUAUGUCUGCCACCGCAAACUUGUCAGUUUCCCAAUACUUGAAGAUUUUGCAUAUAAGAUUUAUAGUAAUAUUAAUUAAUGUGAUUUUUUUGUAUUAUAGAAUGAAAUGUGUCAACAUUUGGAAGACCUGCGUAACUAAUAUUUUCCCAAUGAUUAAUGUAUGAUGUUACAAAAUCAUGCAGGGGUAAAAGAUCCUUUGAAAGUGUAAGUUGGACCAAUGGAUUAUAUGUAAUCAACUAAGGAAAAGUUCAUUGAUAAGGUUCCAGAUUUUGCAUUGAAACUAACCUUUCAGAAACUGCCACAAGUUUUUGUGUAAUAUCAAAGAAGAAUAUCCAUGACUACCUGAGAUGGCCAUUAAAAUAUUCCCCCUUUUUCCAACUAUGUCUCUGAGUGAGGUCAGAUUUUAUUUAUAUACUUCAACAAAACAUCACAUUGUAAUAGAUUAAAUGAAGAAUCAGAUGAGAAUCAAGCUAUCCUCUAUUAAGCCAGAUGUUGAAGAGAUAAGCAAACAUAAAAUAAUGCCAUUUUCUGAAUAUAAUUUUUUAAUUUUGAAACAUUUUCAUAAGGAAAUGUCAAUUAUGUUCCCAUGUCAUGGGUGUAUUUUUGUUACUUUCAUAUGAAUUAAAGCGAUAACUUUAAAUUUUAUGUUUUAACUUCUUAUUUGGUAAAUAUCACUAGAUGGAAUCUACAUAAAUGAAAUCUAUGUGUAGUUCUCAAUCAUCUUUUUAAGAGGGUAAAGAGGUCUAAGACCAAGAAGCUUUAGAACCACUGCUGUAAAUGUUUGAGAGAGAGAUGGAGAGCAAAAGAGGGUAAAGAGAAGUUCCCGUGCUAAGCAUAGGAAGUGACAGGCCUGUUGUGUGCUCUGUUCCUCAGCUCACACCAGGAACACUCUGGAGUUACCUGUCCAACACAGAGCCCCACAUUUUAGCAGGGAUACUGACAAACUGAACAUUAUUCCAAAAAGGGUAACUGGAGGAUAAAAAUUAUGUCCCUGGAGGAACAAUAGAAAUAAGUAGAUAAACACCCUGAGGCUGGGCGCGGUAGCUAACGCCUGUAAUCCCAGCACUUUGGGAGGCCAAGGCAGGCAGAUCACUUGGGGUCAGGAGUCCCAGACCAGCCUGAUCAACAUGGAGAAACCCUAUCUCUACUAAAAAAUACAAAAAUUAGCCAGGGGUGAUGGCAUGCACCUGUAAUCCCAGAUACUAGGGAGGCUGAGGCAGCAGAAUGGCUUAAACCUGGGAGGCGGAGGUUGAUGUGAGCCAAUAUCAUGCCACUGCACUCCAGUCUGGGUGACAGAGUGAGACUCUGUCUCAAAAAAUAAAUAAGUAGGCCGGGCGCAGUGGCUCAUGCCUGUAAUCCCAGCACUUUGGAAGGCUGAGGUGGGCAGAGCACGAAGUCAGGAGAUCGAGACCAUCCUGGCUAACACAGUGAAACCCCAUCUCUACUAAAAAUACAAAAUGUUAGCUGGGUGUGGUGGUGGGUGCCUGUAAUCCCAGCUAGUCGGGAGGCUGAAGCAGGAAAAUCGCUUGUACAUGGGAGGUGGAGGUUGCAGUGAGCCGAGAUCACGCCACUGCACUCCAGCCUGGGCAACAGAGCAAGACUCUGUCUCAAAUAAAUAAAUAAAUAAAUAAAUAAAUGAAAAUAAAUAAAUAGGCACAUAUGUACCAUGGAAUACUAUGUAGCCAUAAAAAAAGAAUAAGUUCAUGUCCUUUGCAGGGACACGAAUGAAGCCGGAAACCAUCAUUCUCAGCAAACUAACAGAGGAACAGAAAACCAAACACCGCAUGCUCUCACUCAUAAGUGGGAGUUGAACAAUGAGAACACAUGGACACAGGAAGAGGAACAUCACAUACCAGGGCCUGUCGGGGAGUGAGGGGAAAGGGGAAGGAGAGCAUUAGGACAAAUGCCUAAUGCAUUUGGGGCUUAAAACUUAGAUGAUGGGUUGAUAGGUGCAGCAAACCACCAUGGCACAUGUAUACCUAUGUAACAAACCUGUAUGUUCUGCACAUGUAUCCCAGAAAUUAAGGUAAAAUUUAAAAAUAAAUAAAUAAAUAAACUUACUCUGGGAACAAAAAGGCAAAACUAAAAAUAAAAUAAAAUUUAUAGAACUAUAAUAGCUUCUUCAAAUCUUUGAAAGGCUGUCAGAAAAAUGUUGACCAAAGGGUUGUAUAAGAAUGGCCUCAAAUAUGUAUUUUGGUACACCAAUAUUUUUUCUUCUGUUUUCACCUCUGUCAUUCUCUAAUGAUUCUCCCCGCUCUAAAAUGUUGUUUCUAGUCUCUUCUCAUUCCCUUCUCUUUUUCUCUUUCUUUUUCUAGCUUGCUUUUUCUCUCUCUGACCCCUUUCUCUCCUUCCCUUCCUUUCAUUAAAUUUCUUCCUUAAUUAUCCACAAUAUAUAAUAAAUACAUUUUUUUCAAAAAGUUUUGUUUCUUUUUUUUCUUAAAAAGGUGUGAGUAGGAGGAGAAUGAGGAAGAAGAGGAGGGAGGAAGAGGGGAGGGCCCAGGGGGAGGAGAUGGGGGAAAAGAGAAUAAAGGGGAGGGAGAGGAAGAAUAAAAAAUAAUGAUCUGUUUUUGUUCCCCCUCUGUAACCUGAUGUAUUUAAUAAGACAAAAGUGUGAAUGAUGGUGGUUCCCAGGGCAGGAGCAAGAGCAUUUCCUCCCAGCAUGGAGAGCAGGAGGGUGAGUAAGGCUGAGCCUUGGGCUUUGGGUGUUAUUUAUCUCAGGUUCAUUAGAGAGAAAGAAAAAGUCACAAAACAGUGAGUGUGGAUGUUUUACAGACAAUGUGAGGCAAAUAGAAUAGAGAAUUUUCGAAUAUUUUUAAAAGACUUGUAACAAGAUUCCUCUUCUAGGAAAGGAGCUUAAGGAAAUAAUCUAAUAUAUAGGCAUAAAACUAUGCACAAGAAUGGCUGUCACAGUAUUAAUUAAAAUAAUGAAGAACUGACAUACCCUAAGUGUACAACAAUAAAUGAUUAAAUUAUUUCUGAGAUACAAAUGUAAAUUAAGACUAUUAAGCAAUCAAUAAAAAUAAUUAAUAGAGAAAUAAAUAAUGGCAUGGGGAAAUACAAGAUAAUGUUGAAAUUUAAAAAAUAAUGAAGAUACCAAAUUAAAUAUAUGUAGUAAUUUAGUCAAUAUAUUUUUAUUGAGCUGCUACUUGCACUAUAGCAGAUAUUGGACAUUUAGUAUUGUGCAUAAUCCCUGCCUUUAUACAGUUUAAAUUCAAAUAAAAAAUAUAGAUUUUAAAUAAUUAAUUAGACAAAUAAUUAGUUGCAUGCCUUUUGUUCCCUGUUUCAAUAAAUAGACAUGAAUUUGUGAAAAGCUAUAAGGAAUGAUAAAAUAUUAAUGCUGGAUUUUUAGAUGGUAAAGCUGUAGGUGCUUGAUAUAUUCCUUGUAAGUUACAUAUUUUCCAAAUUUCCUAGAAUAAGAAUAUAUUACUUUUAAAAUCAUCUUAAAUGUCAAUGAUACUUAAGAAAAAAUAUCUAAGGAACACACUCUUGCAAUUAAUUUCUAACCUUCAGCCUCCCUUCCUUUCUCCUUUACAUCAUUAGACACCAAUGACACCUUCUGCCUCUAUGACCUACCUAGAAAACCAAAACAGGCAAUGGCCUUCAUUCUUUUUGAAAAAAGUGCUAGACAAACAGAGUUUGAGGUGCCAGGUAGGCUACGAGGCAAAAGACUGGCCCUUUUCUUAUGGAAUUCAAAAUGUGAAGAUAGGAACAGACGGGUAACCAGUGCAACUGUUACUGGGCACUAUGCUGAGCACUCCAUGUGCCUCAUUUCAUUUACUCUUCACUGCAAACUAUAGAAUAGAUUCUGGGUUUAGACCCAUUUUACAGAUGAGGAAACUGAGGCUCACUGAAGUUAAAUAAUACCUUGCAGGUGGCAGAGCUGGAAUUCAGAUUCCCAUGGCCUGACUCCAAAGCCCAAGCCCUAAGUAAAUCACGAGGAAGAAGACAGAGCUGUGAGUUAAGCUGUUCAAGGUCCCGCAAGGGAGAGGACCUAGCCCAGACCUAAGUAUGAGGGGAAUCUUCCUGGAAGAAGCAACCUGUACCUGAGACCUCAAGGGUUGCAGACAAGGGCCUGUGGACUGAUUCUGGAAAAUGAAAGCUCAGUAGGACUAGCAUGUGGAAUACUGCAGGGGAUUAGGGGGAAGGCAGAAAUGAGGCCACAGAAUAAGCAAAGAACAAAUCAUAUAGGUCCUUGAAAACUCAGUUAGGACAUUUCAUGUUUAUCCUCAAAAAUGUUGGGAAUCACUAAAGUGUUUUAAGCAGGAAAACAUCAGGGUCAGUUUUCCACUUACAAAAUAUAAUUCUGGCAACUUGGAGAAUAAUUUGGAUGAAUCAAGACUGAAGGCCAAGAGGCCAAUUAGGAGGCUAUAGACAUCAAUCAGUAGAAAGAUGAUGGUGGCCCAAAGCAGGAUAGAAGCAACAAGGAGAGAGAUAGGAUGUCUGGUCCCAGAGGUAUUUUGGAAGUAAAGUUGGCAGAUGUAGAGGAGGUGAGACAAAGGCAGAAAUAGGAUGCCAAGAUGUUUCUCUAAUAGUGUGCCAAUCAAAGUGCCCGUCGUUGAGAAAGGGGACAUGGGAGGAGGCUGCCAUUCUGUGGAGCAAAAUCAGUUCACUUUAGGACAAGCUGGAUUUGAAUCACCAUUGUGACAUUUAGUUGGCAAUGCCCAGUAAGAAGGCAGAUAUAAGAGUCUGAAGCUCAGGAGAAGGAGCUGGGCUAGCAGUUCAUCUAUCUAAUGGUUGAGCCUUGGAAAUGGAUGAAAUUCCCUUGAGAAAGCUGUGUAUGAGAAGAAAAGAAGGCUUAUGAUCAAAUCUGAAAAACACCAGCAUGUGAAGUCGGGGGAAAAAAAUAAGUCAAAACAAACAAACAACAACAAUAACAACAACAAAGAAACAGGAAAUGAGCAGCUGCCAGGAAGGUAGAAAAAAAAAUGCCUACAGAGGACAAGCGUGGUGUCAUGGAAGCUGCAAAGAAAAUUUUUCUGGAAGGCAGAAGUGGUCAGCAAGCAAAGAAAUGUUAAAAGGAUUUAGAAACAAGGAAGUUGUCAGUCACCUUUGGGAAGCCAGCUUCAGUUGCAAAGUGAGGGUAGAAGCCAGACUGGAGGGUAGCUGUCCAGCAGGAAAGUAGGUGGGAAGAAGUGGAGAUAGCACAUGCAAGCACCUGGAAGCAUGGCUGGAAAGGCAAGGAGAAAGAGGGAGCAAUAGCUGGUGGCGAAACUGGACUAAAUAUUGGUUCCUUCCCACUUCACAGUUAUCAUGAUUUGAUAGAUGAACUAGACCAAUUUCUCUUUGCAUGAACUAAAAUUGAUAAGUGGCAUUACUAUCAAUCAGGAACCACUGAGCUUCUAAAUCACCUGAUUUCUCUAGGAAGAUACCAAAAAUAAAGAUCAUGUACAACCUCACAACAUUUGAUUUAGAUUCAAGAAAGCUGCAAUUAACCCUUUGAUUCUAUGUAAUCAUAAAAUUUUAUUAUUAUUUUGAUUAUAAUAACAUCAGCUAACAUUUGUGGAUCACUCACUAUAUGCCAUGAACUGUUCUAAAGGCUAUGCAUAUAACUAGUUUGAUCCUCACAACACCAUGAGAUAAAUCAUUAUCCCCAUUUUACAGAUGCAGAAAUUGAGAGAGAGUUGAAGUAACUGGUUCACAAUCACAAUCGCAUGGCAAGCAAGUAUUGGAGUCAGGAUUCCUUAAGGGUGCUUCUCCCUGACUUAUCCCAGGGACAGGGGAGAAAAAAAAAUUGAAAGGUCCGGGGCAGAAAAGGUGAAAUAAUUCUGAGGUUGCCAGAACACUUCCAUUCCAGAAAAGUCCUGGCAUGAAAGGAGAACAAACUGGUCUGUAGGUACUCUCAGCUACUUUUCCCUAGUGGGUCAGGGGCAGACAAUGGUAUUUCCUGAGCCAAAUGCUCUAGGCCUUGCUGGCACCAACCACUUAAAUAUGUUCUUUGAAAUUCUAGUUGUCUGAAGGCUGGAGCACAGAGGUGAGCUGAAUAUCCUAAAAGGACUACUGAAGAGUGGAAAGCACAAAGUCCUUCUUGUAAAUGGUCAUCCCAGCUUGAUUCCAUAUCUGCACAGCUUUCUACCAUUUGUUGAGGGCCUAUAUACCAUUAAGUCAUUUUGUCUUCAUGACAAGCCUAAGGGAGGCAAGCCUAGGGAGGAGCUGUGAACCCUGGAUCUUUACACAUCUUCUCCUCUCUUUCUGAAACAUUCUUUCUCCUCUCCAUUUUUCUUACGUGAUUGGUUGGCAUCUGGCUUAUCAUUCCCUAUUUCUUGUCUUACUGGGUUAAAGGGAAGGAGAGUCGUAAGAAUCUUAAAAAUAUAUUUUUAUUUGGUUUUGAACUAAAUGAGAUAAUGAUCUAUGUCUCUUCUUAGGAGGAAGGAACACCAAUAUUAACCCUUCAACAGCUGCCUGGGCACAUCAGAAAUACUCAAGGAUAAGUGACACCCAGGUUUAUGAACCUUGUAUUGGUCAGAUUCAGUCAGGGUAGAUUUGUUAUGAUUGUUAUGAAAUAAGAGAGUUGUGAUAUGAAUUAAACGCUAUGCAAUUAUGGCAGAAACUAGGAAAGUGAAAUUCUGAAAGUGGUAUUUAAAGGAUCAGGAAAGGAUUCAUAGUAAAUCUGAAAAGUCAAAAGUCAAGCACAUACAGCAACACAAGUGGGCUCAUAAAGGGGAACUGCAGGAGAUGUCUGUGGGAAAUCAUUGCCUCUCAGAGGCAACUGCUCUGGGUGUUGCAGAUGAGAUGAUGGGCCUGGAGCUGCUGUUUGUAAAGAGGAAGAACUGGAAGUGCUGGAAGCUACCAGGUACUGCUAUGCCUGUCACUCCAUCUGAUCACAUGACCUUCAGAGUGAUAACGGCUGCUGCUUCACCUCUGCCUUCCAAAUCUUAUGCAAGUCUCUCUCUUGUACAACUCUGGCUUGAGACCAUAAAGGAAACCAUACCUAGUUUCUGAUUAAACCAAGCUGACACAGUAAAAUCCAAUUUAUCCAAUUGGUAAAUCUCCUUUACCAAUGAGAAGUAAAAGACAAACUAAAGUAAGGGUUGACUAACAUGAGCAGGGAUGUCUGAGUAACAUGAGAUGGGAUGUCAACUUACAGUCACCUUGCCUUUUCUUACACCUCCUGCAUGCCCAGUGUGUCAGCACAUUUUCUAACACUGUACCAUUAUCUCCACAAUGGCAUGAGCAUGUAUCCCCUCUUCUCCCCAUGGUCAUUAACCCUGUUCAGAUUCUCCUCACCUCUCAUCUUGAAGACUGAGUGUCUUUCGAGUCCUCCACUCACCCUGCUCUCUCUGGCCUCUUCAUCUUGCGUGCUUGAUCUUUCUUCUGCCUGGAAUGCUCUUCCCUCCUUUAUACUUGAGGUCUUAGUUUAAAGAUCACUGUAUUUUGGAAGCAUUUUGGAUCUCUCAAAAAAUCUGAGUUAGAUACCACACUGAUUUGCUUCUCUAUUCUAGUACUUAUUACAUUUUAGGUCUUAUUUAAUUGUCUGUGUUCCUCUCCAUUACCAUCAACUAGGGCCUGACACAUAGGGGUUCAAUAAUUGUCAAGUGAUUGACAGAAUGAAUGAAUGGAUGGAUGAGUGAAAAAGUCUCUCCAUUUCCAGUGUGUAUUCUCUCUAAUAUCUUCUAUAUUCUACACUGAAAUUAUCUUUUUGAAAGCCUGGACUUCUUCAGUGGCUUGUCAUUGCCAGUGGAUAAAAUGCAGACUUUUCAUCUGUGCAUUCAAGAACUACCACAUAUAGUCUCAGCCUACCAUUUCUUUCUUUUUUUUUUUUUUUUUUUAUAGAUGGAGUCUUUCUCUGUUGCCCAGGCUGGAGUGCAGUGGCAUGGUCUCAGUUCACUGCAACCUCUGCCUGUUGGGUGCAAGAGAUUUUCCUGCCUCAGCCUCCUGAGUAGCUGGGAUUACAGGCACGCACCACCACACCCAGCUAAUUUUUGUAUUUUUAGUAGAGAUGGAGUUUCACCAUGUUGGCCAGGCUGGUCUCGAACUCCUGACCUCAUGAUCUACCUGCUUCGGCCUCCCAAAGUACUGGGAUUUCAGGCAUGAGCCACCGCACCCAGCCCCAGCGUACCUUUUCUAAACGUCUCCCAGGAUUCUUCCAUAAGUAUCCUCUAUACUUUAACCAAACUUAUCAACAAAUUGUUCUCUGAAGAACAGUAAUUAUUUGCGAUAAUAAUUUCAAAAAAAAACUUUUAUUUAUUGAGCAUACACUAUAUGUUAGUCAUUAUAGUAUAUAUUUUAUCUAUUUUAUCUUACUGAAUUAUUACAAUAAUCUUGUGAGGCUUUCAUCUCUUACCCUUAUUUUAAAGAUGAGAAAACCAAAGUUCAGAAAAGAUAAGUCACUUGCCCUAAGUCACUUGGCCAAAAUCACAUAACUAGUAGGUGAUGAAACCAGUAUUUAAAUUCAUGUAUUAUCCAAAGUCAAGACUAUAACCAUUCCACUCUACCAUAUCUUCCUGCAAGAAGUUUUCAAUAACCAUUUGUUGAAUUAUUUAAUUAACUAGGUGACUAAUAUAACCUAUAUACUUUGUAUAGCUUAUCUCAUUAGCAUUCACACAACAGCUUUAUGAGAGAAGCUAUUAUUAUUCCCAGAUUACAGAUAAUAAAAGUGAGACUCAAAGAAGUAAAGUAACUUACUCUAGGCCACACAUUUCAAAAGGGAGAAAACUGGGAAAUUGAACCCUGGUUUGUUUGCCUCCAGGUUGGCGCAACUAGCCACUAUGCUACACCAAUCCUAGUUAAAAUCACCUAUUGCUGGAUCUGGACUGGUCUCAAGUUACCGUCUUGUCUCAGAGCCCUCACUCAAUGGAUACGAAUAACAAUUCCCAUGAAGGCUAAGUGGCAGCACAUGAUUAUGGUAAACCAGGACUAUGGCUUGGUGUCCAGUGUGUUUUCAUUAUAAAAUCUGUCUUCUUUUCUCACCAAAAAUGUAUCCUAGAUGAGAGCCAAGGCUUGCCCAUUAGACAACAGGGAACACACCCAGCCCACUCAGUCUUUGCUCAUGCUGUACACUUUGCCUAUUAAAAUUCAACUUUACUCUGCUGGUCCUGAGGACGUCUGUUUUCUGUUUUCUAAGAAUAUGAGAGAUUUUGAGUCAGAGACACAUCAUAACUAUCUUCCAGGAGCUUAAAAGCAAAUAGAGACUUUACUGAUAGGAAUGCUGUGACCAUUAGACAAAGAUUCCAUGAAAACAAGCUCUCAAGACUUUCUAUUUAUACAAGCACUGGAGCUGGUGAGUUCUGGAAGUUGAAUGUUUAACCUAAGUGGAUCCUAGGGAAUUGUCACCUUCCUGGAGGAGUGAGAAAUUCAAGAAGAGCUGAAAUGCUAUAAGAGCUGGAGCCCAUCUACCUGGAGAUUGGAAGUUGAAUGGGGCUGGGGUAUAGCACAAGAAAGCAGAGAGGUGGCAAGAGGGUUUCAGACUAAAGAGACAAUGAAUUUUUUUCACUCAUUCAAUUAUUUCUUUUGUCAAAACAUAUGUAUGAUGCACCUACUAUGAGCCACACUUUGUAUGAGAACUUAGAACGGCUUAACCUAGGCUAGCAUCUCAGAGAAAACUCCUGUAUUAGUCCAUUUUUAUACUGCUAUAAUGAACUGCCGAAGACUGGGUAAUUUAUAAAGGAAAGAGGUUUAAUCAACUCACAGUUCAGCAUGGUUUGGGAGGCCUCAAGAAACUUACAAUCAUGGAGGAAGGUGAAGGGGAAGCAAGUCACCAUCUUCACAAAAUGGCAGGAAGGAGAAGUGCCGAGCGAAGGGGGAAGAGCCCCUUAUAAAACCAUUAGAUCUGUGAGAACUCACUCAUUAGAUCAUGAGAACAACAUGGAGGAAACCACCCCUAUGAUCCAAUUACCUCUACCUGGUCUCUCCCUUGACAUUUUGGGAUUAUGGAGAUUACAAUUCAAGAUGAGAUUUGGGUGGGGACACAAAACCUAACCAUAUCAACUCCUCUCCCAAGGAGAGGAGUUUUCUCUGAGAUCUGAAGCUAGGAGAUUGGGUAAAAACAGAGAAAACAUUCCAGGCAGGUACAAAUAGCAGCUGUAAUGGAAUGGCCCUGAGGUGAGAGAGAACAUAAUACUUUGGAGGAACUGAAUGAAGGCCACUAUGCAUAGGGAAAUAUUACUAUGAGAUGGGAUAAUGGAUUGGUUAGCAGGUUCAAAUUGUGGAGAGCCUUUUAGUUUAUGAAUUUUUAUAAUUAGUAAAUGGCAGUUUUAAAACUUGGUCCAAAUAUUCUCUGAUACUCCUCCUAUUAAGAAGAGCUUUCCUUCCCUCUCCUUGAAUUUGGGCCUUGUGAUGCUGUGCCAGAUUCUGGCCUCAGGCAAGUCUUAAGAAAUGGCACCUUCUACUUCCUGGCUUUGGGGACACUUUUGGAACUUAGCCAUCAUGUUUCUAGGAAGCCCAGGAAGCCUAUGGAGAGAGCAUGUGGACGGGAACUAAGGUCUCUGACUCUGAACUUGCAGAUAAUAGCAGCAUUAACUUAUCAGCCAUAUGAGUGAGCCAUCUUGGAUGUGGAUUCUCCAUUCCCUAGUCAAGCCACUUCAGCUGAUGCUGUAAGAAGCAGAGAUGAGCCUUCCCUGCUGAACCCCACCUAAAUUGUAGAUUCUUAAUGUAGAUAAAUGAUUGCUAUUAUUUUCAAGACAAUAAAGUUGGGAGUACUUUGUUAAAUAGUAAUAGAUAUCAAAAAUAUAGGUAAAUGAGAAGCCAUUGAAGAAUGUUGAGUUUUAAGAAGUUUGUUUCUCAUUAUAGUUUUCUCUUCAUAUAACGGAGUAUAUCACAGCUUUUUAAUUCAUAGAGUUGCUCUGAGGACUGAAUAAUAUAGUAAAAGUAAAGUGCUUGCACAGUGUUGGGUGUUGAAUAAGGCUUCAAGAAGUGUUACUUAUUAUUGUUAUUUUUAGAGUUUAGAGGAAAGGAUGAUAGAAAAUUAUUCCAGGAGUCAAAGGAUAAGUUAUUGGUUACUUGGACUAGAAUGGCAAAAGUAGUGAUAAAAUGGAUGGAUUAGGGAGUUAUUUAGGAUGUAGAAAUGAUGGGCAGUCAUAAUUAAUGGAUGUGGAAGCUGAGGGAGAAUAAAAACUCAAGAAUAACUGAAGGAUUCUGGCCUUGGAACUGGGCCAACAAGUGUAGCAGAUAACUGCUGAAUUUGCUUUCCAACAUCUUUUCACCCUGCAGGUAAUUUUUCCCCACUAUACUGCUGAGAAAUCAACCUGCCUCCACUCUUAAUCCAUUUGGUUUGAGCAGAGUGGAUCCACUCCACUUCCUCCUUCAGGUUAGACAUACUACCCAAGCCUUAGCCAAUCUCCCAGGCAAGUGGUUCCAGGAUUGGCACAUGACCCAAACAGGCCAUUUGGAGGCAACAAGACUCAAUUUUAGGGCAUUUUAUUUGUUUGAGUUUGGAAAAGGAAUCUCUUUAUCUUUACUUUGGAACUUAAGCCUGUAACUAUUAAUAUAUAAAACUAGAACUAUUGCAGUCAUCUUACAUCUGACCAUAGAGCCAACACUGUGUGAAAAGAGAACAACUAGAAGGUGAUGGCAUUGUUUGAGCUCUGUGUCAAGCUAUACCACUUGAGAUAUACCAGCAGACCUUUUAGUUAUAUGAGCUAAAGGAUUUCUUUUUUUCUUUUGCUUUUUUUUUUCACAUACACCAGUUUGACUUGGGUUGAUGAACACUUGCACUUGAAACAGCCUACACUGAUACAUUAGUGAUGCAAGGGAAAACUGGAAGAGAACAGGUAUUGUGUUACAGCUGACUGAGAUAUUCGUGACUAUAGAGAGAAGUUAGGGUUGAGCAUAAAUUGGAGUGAAUUGAGGCACAAUUGGAAGUGGGAGAAAUAGAAAUGAAAUGCCUAAACCAGUCAAAGAAUUGUGGUCAUCUCACACUUUAUUAGUCAUCAGAAAAAUGCAAAUAAUAUCAUAAUGUGACACCAUCACACAUCUACCAGAAUGACUAGAACCAAAAAAAAAAAAAGACAAUUUCAAGUAUUGGCAAGGAUGUGAAUUAGUUAGAAUUCUUACACACUGCCAGUGGUAUUGUAAGUCUAUGCAACCACAUUGGAAAACUGAUUGGCAGUAUCAGUUUACUGCUCAAGCUGAAUGUAUGCAUACCCUGUGAUACUAGAUGUAUAACCAACAGAAAUACAUGCAUGUAAGCACCAUAAGAUGUACAAAAAUGUUCAUUGCAGGUCUACUUGUAAUAGCUUCAAACUGUACACUAAUCAAAUUAUACUUAACCAUAGAAAAAAUUGUGGUGUAUUUUCUCAACAAAAUACUAUACAACAAUGAAAAUUAAUGAACCACAGAGCUCAAAAGCAAGCAGAAAAAAUUUAUGGUGCUAUAAGUCAGAAUAUUCAUUAGCCUUUGGGAAGGUGGUCUCUGGAAGGAGCAAUGGCGGGGAGACUCUCUGGGAUGCUGGUAACUUCUUAUUUCUUAAUAUGAGUUCUGGUUGCACAAGUGUGAUCUCUUUGUAAAAUUUUACCUACAAUUUGUACAUUUUUCUGAAUAUUUUCUAUACCCCACUAAAACUUCAAAAAAUAAAAAUGUGGGUAUGAGGAGCCAUUAACCAGUGGAGUAAAGUUGGAAAGGAGGCUGGAGAGCUGAAAGUGGGUUUCAUGACUAGCAUCUUCAAAUUUUGGAAUCCAGGAAACGGGAGAGACUAAAUGAACAUAGAAAUGGGUGACCUUCCCUUAAGAGAUGCCAAUCCUUGAUGUUGGGGAGCCCCAUGUUGACCCUUCCCUGAUAGGGAAAAGCAAGACCAAUCAAAUGGAGCUGCCUGCUGUCCUCUCUAAGAAUCCAGCCCUUGUCCUACAGUUGGGAGCUGUGGGAGAUGCAGCCUUGUUGAUCUGAUAGGCUAGGAUCCCUGAUAAGGUUGGACACUGCCUUUUGGGAACUGUUUCAGUGAACUUUGGAGAGUCUUGUGGGGAAAACAGACAGAGGCAUUGGUUUCUUCAGACCUCAGACAUGAAAAUUCUCCAACCAAGUCUCAUUGCCUCUAAAGAAGAAGGAAUUUCACUUAAUUUCCUGCAGAAUAGAUGAAAGAGGCAGAGAGGGCUAUGUAUAUUCCAUGAACUCCUAAAUUCCAAUUUCUUCACAUCUUUUCCAGUGCCAUUAACUAUCCUUCCUACAGAGUCAGUUCAGGCUCACCUCCCUUCUCCUGGAGUUCAAGGAGUCUCUAGCCUCCCUGCUUCGUGGCUGACAACCUCCUUCCACAGAAUAGUCAGAACAAUUCUUCUAACAUGCAAAUCUGAUUGAUCAUGCCACUCUCCUUCCUAUGAACUUUAAUGCAUCCUCCAUCUUGAGUUUCAGCCCAAACUUCAUCAAGAAGCACAAGGCCUGGUGACCUAGCCCUUGACCACGUUUUCUAACAUCAUCUCUGGCCUCCUUGUUCCCUCACAAUCCAACACGUCAGCCAUGCCCAACAUCCCAGAGAGCAGGUAGAAUGCUGAAUGUGGAGGUCGUUUUACACUUCCGUGCUUUUAGCCCAAACACCUUUUCUUCGUUUUCCUGUUGAAUACUUAUUUACCUUUGAAAAACCACACCUAGGCAUCAUUUAUUUUGGGACGCCUUCCCUGAGAGCCUCUACUCCUUCCUCUCAUUCUGAUUUUCUGUUUUCUUUCACUGUAUAUGUUACAGGGUUCUGUAUUUAUUCACAAUGGUGUAGCUUUCCUAUUAAAACUCCAGAUACUCAAGUGGCCAGGAUUUUGUCUUGUUUAUCUCAAUCCCUGAUUCUUAAAAUGGCAUUUGGCAUGUGAUAGAUUCUCAAGAAGGUUUUGAUAAACACACUCUUCAAAGCAUAACUCUAUGUGUUAUCAUUGAACUGUAACUUUCAAGUGACUUUUUUUAAUCAUUCUUAUUGUUGUGUGCAUACAUGGUUUAACUAACUAUGAUGAUAAGCAUAACUAAAACUUUAUAACUGCUUUAUGAAGGGUGUUAUUUCAUUUGAUCCUCGCAACAGAAAGCCUGGUAGAAUGGCCUCUUUCUUUUCUUUUUUUGAGAUGGAUUUUUUAUUAUUUAUUUAUUUAUUUAUUUAUUUUUAAAAUUUUUAUUAUACUUCAAGUUCUGGGAUAUAUAUGCAAAACGUGCCAGUUUGUUACAUAGGUAUAUACGUGCCAUGGUGGUUUGCUGCACCCAUAAUCCUAUCAUCUACAUUAGAUAUUUCUCCUAAUGCUAUCUCUCCCCUAGCCCCCAAUACCGGGACAGUCCCCAGUAAGUUAUGUUUCCCUCCCUGUGUCCAUGUGUUCUCACUGUUCAACUCCCACUUGCGAGUGAGAACAUGCAGUGUUUGGUUUUCUGUUUCUGAGUUAGUUUGCUGAGAAUGAUGGUUUCCAGCUUCAUCCAUGUCCCUGGAAAGGACAUGAACUCAUCCUUUUUAUGGCUGCAUAGUAUUCCCUGGUGUAUAUGUGCCACAUUUUUCUUUAUCCAAUCUAUCAUUGUUGGGCAUUUGGGUUGGUUCCAAGUCUUUGCUGUUGUGAACAGUGCUGCAAUAAACAUACGUGUGCAUGUGUCUUGAUAGUAGAAUGAUUUAUAAUCCUUUGUGUAUAUACCCAGUAAUGCGAUUGCUGGGUCAAAUGGUAUUUCUGGUUCUAGAUCCUUGAGGAAUUGCCACACUGUCUUCCACAACGGUUGAACUAAUUUACACCCCCACCAACGGUGUAAAAGUGUUCCUAUUUCUCCACCUCCUUUCCAGCAUGUGUUGUUUCCUGACUUUUUAAUGAUCACCAUUCCAAAUGGCAUGAGAUAGUAUCUCAUUUUGGUUUUGAUUUGCAUUUCUCUAAUGACCAGUGAUGAUGAGCUUUUUUUCAUAUGUUUCUUGGCUGCAUAAAUGCCUUCUUUUGAGAAGUGUCUGUUCAUAUCCUUUGCCCACUUUUUGAAGAGGUUGUUUUUUUUCUUGUAAAUUUAAGUUCCUUAUAGAUUCUGGAUAUUAGCCCUUUGUCAGAUGGAUAGAUUGCAAAAUGUUCUCCCAUUCUGUAGGUUACCUGUUCACCCCGAUGAUAGUUGCUUUUGCUGUGCGUAAGCUCUUUAGUUUAAUUAGAUCCCAUUUGUCAAUUUUGACUUCUGUUGCCAUUGCUUUUGGUGUUUUAGUCAUGAAGUCUUUGCCCAUGCCUAUGUCCUGAAUGGUAUUGCCUAGGUUUUCUUCUAGGGUUUUUAUGGUUUUACAUCUUAUGUUUAAGUCUUUAAUCCAUCUUGAGUUAAUUUUUGCAUAAGGUAUAAGGAAGGGGUCCAGUUUCAGUUUUCUGCGUAUGGUUAGCCAGUUUUCCCAACACCAUUUAUUAAAUAUGGAAUCCUUUCCCCAUUUCUUGUUUUUGUCAGGUUUGUCAAAAAAUCAGAUGGUUGUAGAUGUGUGGUAUUAUUUCUGAGGCUCUGUUCUGUUCCAUUGGUCUAUAUAUCUGUUUUGGUACCAGUACCAUGCUGUUUUGGUUACUGUAGCUUUAUAGUAUAGUUUGAAGUCAGGUAGCAUGAUGCCUCCAACUUUGUUCUGUUUUGCUUAGGAUUACCUUGUCUAUAUGGUCUUUUGGUUCAGAAUGGCCUCUUUCAAACCCAGUCCCACAGAUAGACCAGCAAAGAAGUCUCAAAAAAAAAAAAAAAAAAGGAGGAACUAUUAGAGGACCCCUUGAUAUUUAUUUGUCUCUCAGCUUUUAAAAAUUUAUAUUUUAGAUAUUUUAUAAUAUACACAAUAGUACAUUACUGCAUGUUUGCAACUUAUAAAUGAAUAAACAUAUAUGGUGGGGGAGAGCUUAAAAUUGGUUCACUGAUAGAGUGCACGAUCAAAAAGGUUUGGUGACACUGUGUUAGACAGCACAUGGGCCUCUGUGUUUCAGUACUUGAGCAAGGAGACUUAUGUAGUCUGCCAGCUGGAUUGCAGGGUAUAUAUUUUAUAGUUUGGUGACAUUUCUCUGCCUAGGUUAUGUGCCUGAGCUCAAUUCUCAUCUUCCUAUUUUUCUUAUUCCUGUUUCUCAAUUACUAGCAGUGAUAGCAGUAGCAUUUAACAUAUAUUGAGUACUCACUCUGUGUCAGGUGCUAUGCUAAAUAUUUCCAUAUAUUAUCUCAUUUAAUACUUAUAAUAGAACACAGAGAAAAAAAUGGCAGAUAGGAGGCAGAACUAGCUUGCAGCUCCCAUUGGAUGGAUAGAGCACCACGUGGAACUCACAUCAUCAACUUGUGCUCCAAGAACUACUGAAUUCCAAAGAUAAAGGACAUAAUCUCUUGGGAGCUCCAUGGUCCCACCCACCACCUGAGAAACCCAGAUACUUAUCCAGAAGACCUUAAGGCAAGCUUGCAUCUUCCCUAUACUACUGCAGCUGAUACUUUUUUGAAAACACCACCUCCGGACUGGAGGCCAACCAACACAAAACUAGGGUGCUAAACAAAACUACAAUCAAGGACCCUAACAGAGUCCACUUCACUCCCCUGCUACCUCCACCAGAGCAGGUGCUGGUAUCCAUGACUCAGAGACCUGAACACAGAUCACAGGACUCUUUGCUUACACUCCCCAGUGCCAGCCCAGAGCCUGGUAGCUCCACUGGGUGGCUAGACCCAGAAUAGAAAUGAUAAUCACUGCAUUUCAGCUCUCAGGAAACCUCAUCCCUAGGGGAAGUGGGACAGUGCCACAUCAAGGGAACACACUGUGGGAAAAAAGAAUCUGAACAGCAUCCCUUGAGUCCCAGAUCUUCCCUCUGACACAGUCUACCUAAAUGAGAAGGAAACAGAAAAACAAUUCCAGUAAUAUGACAAAACAACAUUCUUUACCAUCCUCAAAAGAUCACCCUAGCUCACCAGCAAUGGAUCUAAACCAAGAAGAAAUCUCUUAAUUGCCAGAAAAAGAAUUCAGAAGGUCAAUUAUUAAACCACUCAAGGAGGCCAGAGAAAGGUGAAUACCAACUUAAAUAAAUUUUAAAAAUAAUACAGGAUAUGGAUGGAUAAAUCUCCAGAAAAAUAGAUACCAUAUAUAAAAAACAAUCACAGCUUCCAGAAACAAAGGAUAUGUUUGGAGAAAUGCAAAAUACACUGAAGAGUCUCAGCAAUAGAAUUGAACAAGUAGAAUAAAGAACUUCAGAGCCUGAAGUGGGCUUUCAAAUUAACCCAAUCCAACAAGACAAAGAAAAAAUAAUUUUAAGAAAAUGAACCAAGCCCCCAAGAAAUUUUGGAUUAUGUUAAACAACCAACCUAAGAAUAAUUGGUGUUCACAAGGAAGAAGAUAAAUCUAAAAGUUUGGAAAGCAUAUUUGAGAGAAUAACCAAGGAAAACUUCCCUGACCUUGCUAGAGACCUAGCCAUCCAAAUACAAGAAGCUCAAAGAACACUCCACAAAUUCAUCACAAAAGGAUCAUCGCCUAGGCACAUAGUUAUCAGAUUACCUAAAGUCAAGAUGAAGGAAAGAGUCUUAAGAGCUGUAAGGCAAAAGCAUCAGGUAACCUAUAAAGGAAAACCUAUCCCAUUAACAGCAGAUUUCUCAGCAGAAACCCUACAAAGUAGAGGGGAUUGGGGUCCUAUCGUUAGCCUCCUGAAACAAAAUAAUUAUCAGCCAAGAAUUUUUUAUCUGGCAAAACUAAGCUUCAUGAAUGAAGGAAUGAUACAGUCUUUUUCAGACCAACAAAUGCUGAAAGAUGUUGCCACUAUCAAGCCAACACUACAAGAACUGCAAAAAGGAGCUCAAAAUCUGGAAAGAAAUCCUUGAAAUACACCAAAAUAGUACCUCCUUAAAGCAUAAAUCUCACAGGACCUAUAAAACAAUAACAACAUGAAAAAUAAAAGAUAUUCAGGCAACAGCAUGAUGGGUAGAAUAGUACUUCACAUAUCAAUACUAACAUUGAAUGUAAAUGGCCUAAAUGCUCCACUUAAAAGAUACAAAAUGGCAGAAUGGGCAGGAAUUCACCAACCAAGCAUAUGCUGUCUUCAGGAAGACUCACCUAACACAUGACUCACAUAAACUUAAGGUAAAGGGGUGGAAAAGUAUAUUCCAUUCAAAUGGAUGCCCAAAGUUAGCAGAAGUAGCCAUUCUUAUAUCAGCCAAAACAGACUUUAAAGCAAAAACAAUGGUUUAGUAAGACAGAGGGACAUUAUAUAAUGAUAAAACGAAUGGUCUAACAGGAAAAUAUCACAAUCCUAAAUACAUAUGCACCUAACACUGGAGCUCCCAAAUUUAUAAAACUAUUACUAUUACACCCCAUGGUGUAAUAAGAAAUGAGACAGAUGGCAAGAAAAUGAUAAUGAGGCACUUCAAUACUCCACUGACAGCACUAGACAGGUUAUCAAGGCAGCUAACAAAGAAACAAUGGACUUGAACUAUACCCCAGAACAAACGGACUUGGCAGAUAUUUACAGAACAUUCUAUCCAACAACUGCAGAAUAUACACAUUCAUCAGCACAGGGAACAUUCUCCAAGAUAGACCAUAGGGUAGGCCACAAAACAAGUCUGAAUAAAUUUAAGAAAAUAGAAAUUAUAUCAAGUACUCUUUCAGACCACAAGGGAAUAAAAUCAGAAAUCAACUCCAAAAGAAACUGUCAAAACUGUAGAAAUUCAUGGAAAGUUAAUAACCUGCUCCUGAAUGAUCGUUGGGUCGACAAUAAAAUCAAGAUGAAAAUUAAAAAAUUAUUCAAACUGAACAAUAAUAGUGAUACAACCUAUCAAAACCUCUGGGAUACAGCAAAAGUGGUGCCAAGAGGAAAAUUCAUAGCACUAAAUGCCUACACCAAAAAGUCUGAAAGAGUGCUAAUAGGCAAUCUGAGGUCACAUCUCAAGGAACUACAGAAAAAAGAACAAACCGAACCCAAAUCCAGCAGAAGAAAAGAAAUAACAAGGAUCAGAACAGAACUAAAUGAAACUGAAACAACAACAAAAAAUACAAAAUAUAAAUAAAAUGAAAAGCUGGCUCUUUGAAAAGAUAAACAAAAUUGAUAGACCGUUACUGAGAUUAGCCAAGAAAAGAAGACAGAAGAUCAAAAUUAGCUCAAUUAGAAACAAAAUAGGAGAUAUCAACUGAUACCACAGAAAUACAAAAGAUCAUUCAAAGCUACUAUGAACACAUUUAGGCACACAAACUAGAAAACCUACAGGAGAUGGACAAAUUCCUGACAAUAUAUUACCCUCCUAGAUUAAACCAGGAAAACAUAGGAUCUCUGAGCAGACCAAAAACAAGCAAUGAGAUUGAAAUGGUAAUUUUUAAAUUGCUAACAACAACAAAAAAAAUCCAAGACAAGAUAAUUCACAGCUGAAUUCUAUCAGACAUUCAAAGAAGAAUUGGUAUCAAUCCUAUUGACACUAUUCCACAAGAUAUAGAAAGAGGGAAUCCUCCCCUAAUCAUUCUACAAAGCCAGUGUCGUCACCCCAAUAUCAAAACCAGGGAAGGACAUAACAAAAAAAAGAAAACUACAGACCAAUAUCCCUAAUGGAAAUAGAUGCAAAAAUCCUCAGCAAAAUAUUAGUGAACCAAAUCCAACAAUAUAUCGAAAAGAUAAUCCACCAUGAUCAAGUGGGUUUCAUACCAAGGAUGCCAGAAUAGUUUAACAUAUGUAAGUCAAUAAAUGUGAUACACCACAUAAACAGAAUGAAAAACAAAAAUCACAUGAUCAUCUAAAUAGAUUCAGAAAAAGCAUUCGACAAAACCCAGCAUCCCUUUAUGAUUAAAACCUUUGGCAAAAUCAGCAUAAAAGGGACAUAUCUUAAGGUAAUAAAAGCCAUCUAUGACAAACCCACAGCCAACAUUAUAUUGAAUGGGAAAAGUUGUAAGCAUUCUCUAUAAGAACUGGAACAAGAAAAGGAUGCCCACUUUCACCACUUCUAUUCAACAUAGUACUGGAAGUCCUAGCCAGAGUGAUCAGACAAGAGAAAGAAAUAAAGGGCAUCCAAAUUGGUAAAGAGGAAGUCAAACUGUCACUGUGCACAGAAGAUAUGAUUGUAUACCUAGAAAACCCUAAAGCCUCAUCCAAAAAGCUCCUAGAUCUGAUGAAUGAAUUCAGUAAAGUUUCAAGAUGCAAAAUCAAUGUAUACAAAUCAGUAGCUCUGCCCUACACCAACAGCAAUCAAGUUGAGAAUCAAAUCAAUAACUCAACCCCUUUUACAAUAGCUGCAAAAAAUAAAAUAAAAUAAAAUAAAAUUCUUGGGAAUAUACCUAACCAAGGAGGUGAAACACUCCUACAAGAAAAACUACAAAACACUGCUGAAAGAAAUCACAGGCAGCACAAAUAAAUAGAAACACAUCCCAUGCUCAUGGAUGGGUAGAAUCAAUAUUGUGAAAAUGACCAUACUACCAAAAGCAACCUACAAAUUCAAUGCAAUGCCCAACAAAAUACCAUCAUAAUUCUUCACAGAACUAGAAAAAAACAAUCCCCAAAGUCAUGGAAUUUUAGGAACCAUGGCUAAAUACUGGAACCAAAAAAGGAGCCCAAAUAGCCAAAGCAAGCUAAGCAAGAAGAACAAAUCUGGAGACACCACAUUGCUUGACUUCAAACUAUACCAUAGGCCAUAGUCAUCAAAACAUCAUGGUACUGGUAUAAAACAGGCACAUAGACCAAUGGAGCAGAAUAGAGAACCCAAAAAUAAAGCCAAACACUUACAGCCAACUGAUCUUCAACAAAGCAAACAAAAACAUAAAGUGGGGAAAGGACACCCUAUUCAACACAUGGUGCUGGGAUAAUUGGCAAGCUACAUGUAGAAGAAUAAAACUGGAUCCUCAUCUCUCGCCUUAUAUAAAAAUCAACUCAAGAUGGAUCAAAGACUUAAACCUAAGACCUGAAACCACAAAAAUUCUAGAAGAUAACAUCAGAAAAACCCUUCUAGACAUUGGCUUAGGCAAAGACUUCAUGACCAAGAACCCAAAAGCAAAUGCAACAAAAACAAAGAUAAAUUGAUGGGACUUAAUUAAACUCAAAAGCUCUGCACAGCAAAAUAAAUAAUCAGCAGGGUAAACAGACAACCUAUAGAGUUUGCAAACUUUGCAUCUGACAAAGGACUAAUGUCCAGAAUCUACAAAGAAUUCAAACAAAUUAGCAAGAAAAAAAAAUCCCAUCAAAAAGUGGGCUAAGGACAUAAAUAGACAAUUCUCAAAAGAAGAUAUACAAAUGGCCAAUAAACAUAUGAAAAAAUGCUCAACAUUACUAGUUAUCAAGGAAAUGCAAAUCAAAACCAUAAUGCAAUACCACCUUACUCCUGCAAGAAUGGCCAUAAUUACAAAAUCAAAAAAUAAUAGAUGUUGGCAUGGAUGUGGUGAAAAGGGGACACUUUUACACUGCUAGUGGGAAUAUAAACUAAUACGACCACUAUGGAAAACAGUGUGGAGAUUCCUUGAAGAACUAAAAGUAGAUCUACCAUUUGAUUCAGCAAUCCCACUGCUGAGUAUCAACCCAAAGGCAAAGAAGUCAUUAUACAAAAAGAUAUCAAUCAAGUGGAUAAAGAAAAUGUGAUAUUUUAUAUAUAUAGUAUACAGUAUAUACACAUAUAGUAUAUUAUAUAUAUAAAUAUAUAUUUAUACACACACAACUAUAUCAUCGAAUACUACUCUGUCAUAUAAAAGAACAAAAUCAUGGUAUUUGCAGCAACUUGGAUGGAAUUGGAGACCAUUAUUCUAAGUGAAGUAACUCAGGAAUGGAAAACCAAACAUCAUAUGUUCUCACUCGUAAGUGAGAGCUAAGCUGUGAGGAGGACGCAAAGGCAUAAGAACAAUACAAUGGACUUUGGGGACUUGAGGGAAAGGGUGGGAGGUUGGGGGGUAAUAAAAGACUACACAUUGGGUAGAGUGUACACUGCUCAAGUGACAGGUGCACCAAAAUCUCAGAAAUCGCCCCUAAAUAACUUAUCCAUGUAACCAAACACCACUUGUUGCCCAAAAACGCAUUGAAAUAAAAUAAUGAUAAUAAAAUACUCAUAAUAAUUGCAUGAGAUAGGUUUUAUUAUCCCUGGUUUACAAAUUAGGAAACUAAAGUGAAAAAACUUGCCCAAGGUCCCAGAGCUAUGUGGUGGAGCAGAGAUUCAGUCCUACCUCUUGAAUAAAAAAGGUGAAAUUGAAGAAUAGUUCUGGAUUCAAACACAGAUUUUGUCAUUUAUUAGGAAAGCUAUACAACAGUAUUGUCUUUACUUAGAGACAACUGACCCGUUGUUUUAAUGUCUAGUCUAACCCUGUAAUGGCCCUCCUAGCCAGACACAAACGAAACAUGAUGCAUAUGGAAUUCGGUGUUUCGGAAAGAUGUGCAUGCCUCACAGUACCAGUGGGAAACUACUCUUGUAAACAGCAUAAUUUUUAACCACCACUACCCCCACCACCACUCCCAUCAUGGCAAAAUGCCCAAAGUCAUUAGGCAGUAAGUACGUCAGUGUUUGACGUGAGUCUCAAAUAAAAGUGCAGCAAGCCAGUAUGCCUUGAUUUCUGAUGGCAAGACCUCACCGAACUGCUUAUUUGAAGCCAGCACCAGAAAGAAGGGAGAAAGGGGUGAUGGAUUUUCCAAGGCAGGCAGCGAAACAGAUACCAGAGCAACUGAGAAUGACUCUAACUACCUACUUCUCUAGCGGCCUGGGAACACAUCCUGGGGCAUGGCUUUUUAUGAUCUAGUGUACUUCCUUUAUGCCCUGAGAUUUCCCUGUGGGUCCUGGACCCUCAGGGAUACAUCAUACAAGGCUCAGUCUUCUACCUAACAUCUGCGUUUUGCACAUUGCUACGCAGUUAUCCCAUCUCCCAACUGCCUGUUGGCAAAUGCACAACACUUCAAUCUACCCAGGUAACGCUUAGUGGGAAAAUAGGAUGUCAAUGAAUCCAGAGAACCUGUGAUGAUGACAUAAUGACUUGGCCAAGGUCAUCCUGUGAUGAAAUGAAAAAUGAAACUCAAGCUUGGUAUCUGUACUGACAUCUGUGGAUAACCCGUUAGUUUUUGGAACCUGACUUGGACACCUUAGGAGUGUCAGGUUCACACUGUACUUGAGGAGCUUAACUGAGACCAUGUCUUCUUUUUCCCUUCCCUCUUCUCUUUGAGAAAUGUGGUCUGGCAAGGAGCAGAGCAGCUUUUUCCCAGGCAUUCAAGUUUGAGUUGGUUUAUUUCUGGUGCACUGGGUGGGAUAAGCCAGGAGACCCAACUAGGAUACCCCAUCCUGCUGCUGGGAAUAGAAGUAGGAGGCAACCAGUUUUCCACUGAAUGGGAGCCCAGGCUGAGUGACUACAACAAAGCCUCAAAUUAACAUAGAUCAGCAGAGGGGAAACUGCCCCAGGCAAGGAUGGUGAAGUAGAUGAUGACAAUGACACAAUAAUAAUAAUAAUA